UCUAACUGCUCACCCAAUUUGUUUACACGACUUUCAUGCUCCUUUAAAGAAUUAUUUUUCUCAUCUAGUUCUUUCAGAAGCACCAAACACUGCAUUUGCGCAGACUCUGCAGAUGCAGCACUAGUAGCUGCAGUUGCUUGAGUUGCUGAAAGCUGUGAUCGAAGAUCAUCCAACUCCUUAAGGUACUGCAUUGCAUUCAAAGAUUAAUGUUCUCAGCUUAGUGACCAGAAAAGAGAGGGGGGGGGGGGAGGGAGGCAAAAAAGAAUAAUAUAAGCUGUGAAAAGACACAAGAUAUUGUACCCUGGGCAUUUACAGAACAAGAAUGUCGCCUUACAUAAGGGAACUCGUAAUUUAUCAUCUCUACCAUAUGGCAAUGUAAAUGAAAUUCAGUUUUCACAGAUUCCAGCUAUUGUAUAGUUUUUAGUGCAUAAGAGAAGACUCAGUCCCCCACUUGUCCAGAAAUUCUAGUAGGAACAAACAAACAAUAAUUAGAAAAUAAAUAAGAAGUUUAAAAUUUUCCACUUGUAGUUUGGAGUAAAUACCAUCCCAAAAAGACAAAGCGUUGAAAAUUUCUCUGUUUCUUUCUAAGUUCAAUUAGCUUUGUCCUUCACUCCCCAGUAGAACUGAGUAUGGCAUAACUAAUAAUGUUGUUUAACAUUUUACCUUUUAAGGGUCAAACUACUUCAAAAGGUGUGGACCGAAGUUCUUUUGCCACCAUAACCAGUACAAAUGAUACUGUCAAUCAUAUGGUAACAUCACUCUCGCUUGGGUAUACCCCUCUAGUUUUCAAAAACUAAAAGUAAGCGAACCAGGAAAAACAGGAUACAACAAACAUAUACUCCCAUAAACAUUUGAACAAUGUUAAGAUUGACAGUGUACUGCCAAGCCAAAUAUAUUAGCAAAUGGCUGUAUUGGCCUAAUCUCACACUAAAAGAUUCUCUUUCCCAAACCAUUUCAUAUAAAUAAGAGGGACAAACUUUUUGAACCAUUCAAACUGCAAAAAAGUAAAGCAAGGCAACCAUUUAAUAAUGAAGUUGAUAGUUAAUCCUGUUCCUACUUCCCCAUAAUAACAAACAAGAAAAGCCAAAAAGUAGCUUCAAAAGAUGAGUAUCAGGUGUCAUGCUAAUGGAUCUACUCACAAACAUAAAACAAAAAUAAACUAUGAAAAAACAAAAUGCUAAAGAAAAACAAUCCCUCCCUUCAGAUCCAUCCGGUGAAAUCACCAGGAAAAACUAAAAUCAUCACAAACCAGAUUUGCAAUCCGAAGACCCAUAAUAGAAGAUAAAACAAAAUCAAUCUGUUUCGAACACAUGCAUAACCAUAAAGGUGGAAUUGAAACUAAUACUUUCUCAGAAGUAGAUGCAGAAGCACGAAGCUGCCCAUUUCUAUCUUCCAAGCUCUUGUGUAGUCUGUUUAUUUCCUCUUCCAUUUUCUUUGCUUUAAUCUCCGCUUCCUGCAAUUCAAAAAACCAUUAAUAAAAACAGAAGCUUUUCCAAAACCAACUGUGCCGAGUUUUUGGCUAAAAUCAAGAACUCCAUAGCAAAAUCAAACCCUUUUUCACAAGACCAAGAACCCAGUAAGUAGAACAAUCCGCGUUUGCAAAAACAAAAACCCAUUAAGAAACUCAAAAUUUUUAAGCAAAUCGAGAACCCGAUAAUAAAAACCAAAACUUUUCACCACAAUCAUCAACUUAAGGCCCCACCCAUUAUUUCACUUCCAAAAAGUCAAAAACUCAUAUAUCUUUCCAUUUCGGAACAUGCCUGGCGGGUUAGGGAUUCACGAGCAAAUGACUGUUCUUGAGAAGCAAGGCGGCUGCGGACAUCCUUCAGCUCAGCCGCCAAGGACACCACGUUCCUCCGGAAACUCUGCUUCUUCUCACUUAGAUCUUUUAACAAGGGAUCUAUCUCCCUUUCUCUUCCACCACCACCACCACCAGCCCCCAGUCCCACCGACGACGACAACGACGACACCGAGGAAGUAGACGAGGAGGAAGACGACGGCCUCUCCGUCACCGUCGAUACUGAUGACAUCACUGCAUACACAACUACUCUAAUGCUCCUCUGCUACUCUGCGU
rnacentral:lncRNA from 1 species